GAGAUGCAUUUAUUAGAUAAAAAACCAAUACAUGCUUUUAAAGUAUGGAAUUUGGUGAUUUACAAUAACUUAGCAAAUCGCAUAGUGAAAACAGGCGAUAAAUCAUUCAAGUUUCUGACCUAUCAGCUUUCGACGGUAUGGUAUUGGCUUACCGUGGCAGUGACGGUUAACGGGGGAUUAGGGUUCGAUUCCGGAGAGGGAGCCUGAGAAACGGCUACCACAUCUAAGGAAGGCAGCAGGCGCGCAAAUUACCCAAUUCUAACAGCAUAAGAGAGGUAGUGACAAGAAAUAACAAUACAAGGCAGUUAAAAUGCUUUGUAAUUGGAAUGAUAGAAAUUUAAACACUUUUUAAAGUAUCAAUUGGAGGGCAAGUCUGGUGCCAGCAGCCGCGGUAAUUCCAGCUCCAAUAGCGUAUAUUAAAAUUGUUGCAGUUAAAAAGCUCGUAGUUGAAUUUCUGCUAAAAAUAACCGGUCUGCUUUUAAUAAAGGUGGUAUCUUGGUGUGUUUUUAGCAAUAAUGUCCUUUGAAAUGUUUAUUACUUCAUUGUAAUAAAUUAUUUUCAGGAUUUUUACUUUGAGAAAAUUAGAGUGUUUCUAGCAGGCUAACGCUUUGAAUACUGCAGCAU
rnacentral:rRNA from 1 species